rnacentral:rRNA from 1 species
CCUACGGGUGGCAGCAGUGAGGAAUAUUGGUCAAUGGACGAGAGUCUGAACCAGCCAAGUAGCGUGAAGGAUGACUGCCCUAUGGGUUGUAAACUUCUUUUAUAUGGGAAUAAAACGUUCCACGUGUGGGAUUUUGUAUGUACCAUAUGAAUAAGGAUCGGCUAACUCCGUGCCAGCAGCCGCGGUACUACGGAGGAUCCGAGCGUUAUCCGGAUUUAUUGGGGUUAAAGGGAGCGUAGGUGGAUUGUUAAGUCAGUUGUGAAAGUUUGCGGCUCAACGGUAAAAUUGCAGUUGAAACUGGCAGUCUUGAGUACAGUAGAGGUGAGCGGAAUUCGUGGUGUAGCGGUGAAAUGCUUAGAUAUCACGAAGAACUUCGAUUGCGAAGGCAGUUCACUGGACUGCAACUGACACUGAGGCUCGAAAGUGUGGGUAUCAAACAGGAUUAGAUACCCGAGUAGUC